UUUCAAGAUGAGAUCUGCCGGGGCCUUGAGCCCCCUAAAGAGUCGUUCAAGACCAGGACGUUGAUAGGUCAGGUGUGGAAGCGCAGUAAUGCGUUAAGCUAACUGAUACUAAUUGCUCGUGCGGCUUGACCCU
rnacentral:rRNA from 1 species